CAGAAUACGGCUGAAGCCUGGAAGACUUCAGGGUACCCAGGGUACACCAGACGACCUGGGUGACUCCUUCAGGUCAGCUGGAGACCCUGAUACUGGAGUUGAUGGAGCUCAGAUUGAAAAAGAUGCUCAGGUAUGUCCAACUUAAAGAACUCGGGUGUGUGGAAGCUGAAAGGGGCCCAGACUCUGAAGA